UGGGGAAUAUUGGACAAUGGGCGCAAGCCUGAUCCAGCCAUGCCGCGUGAGUGACGAAGGUCUUCGGAUUGUAAAGCUCUUUUGCCAGGGACGAUAAUGACGGUACCUGGAGAAUAAGCCCCGGCUAACUUCGUGCCAGCAGCCGCGGUAAUACGAAGGGGGCUAGCGUUGUUCGGAAUUACUGGGCGUAAAGCGCACGUAGGCGGAUUUGUUAGUCAGGGGUGAAAUCCCGGGGCUCAACCUCGGAACUGCCUUUGAUACUGCAAGUCUCGAGUCCGAUAGAGGUGAGUGGAAUUCCUAGUGUAGAGGUGAAAUUCGUAGAUAUUAGGAAGAACACCAGUGGCGAAGGCGGCUCACUGGAUCGGUACUGACGCUGAGGUGCGAAAGCGUGGGGAGCAAACAGGAUUAGAUACCCCUGUAGUCCCUG
rnacentral:rRNA from 1 species